UUAACUUUAAUAAAAAAAUUUAAAUCUGGUCUUAUCAGUUUAAUAUCUGAUGUGUCCUUUAUUUGAGGACUGUAUAUUAAAUUGAUUUUUGGAACAGGGGGAUAGAAUAGAAGCUUGCUCUGUCCACCCCAUGCAUCAACCUGGUAUUGCAGGGGUCAAAAAAAACAACACAGGUGGAGUAGGG
rnacentral:snRNA from 1 species